UACGGAGGGUGCAAACGUUGCUCGGAAUCAUUGGGCGUAAAGCGCACGUAGGCGGUCCGUUAAGUCGGAAGUGAAAGCCCUCGGCUCAACCGAGGAAGUGCUUUCGAAACUGGCGGACUUGAAUACUGGAGAGGAUCGCGGAAUUCCCGGUGUAGAGGUGAAAUUCGUAGAUAUCGGGAGGAACACCAGUGGCGAAGGCGGCGAUCUGGACAGAUAUUGACGCUGAGGUGCGAAAGCGUGGGGAGCAAACAGG
rnacentral:rRNA from 1 species